GUGCCCACAUGGGUCUCUGACCACAAGGACACAUGCGGAGGACAGGGGCUCCCUCUUCGGCGCUGACAGACCAAGCUUCACUUUUAUCCCGCUGGAACUUGCCUGUCACUGCCUGCCACCAUUGAUGUCUCGUCCCCGAAUGCUGCAGAAGGGGAAAACAUUCAUCUCCUUGUUCAUAAUCUGCCAGAGAACCUUGGAACCCUUUCCUGGUGUGGCAAAGAACUGAGGACCAGGGUUGCCUGCUCUCUCUGGGAUGAAGGAACUGGCUUGGAGUUCCUUGGCCCCUGAGGAACGAGGAGGUUACUGAGCACAGGCGGAGAGCUGGUACCCUAGCAGAAUCUGUGGAACAGUUGGUGAUGUGAUCCAAACUCCUUCUGUCUUUCAAUCAUUGUGCACAGAUUUGAUUUAAUAAAAG
rnacentral:lncRNA from 1 species